CCGUGAACCUUUACUAUAGCUUGACACUGAACAUUGAGCCUUGAUGUGUAGGAUAGGUGGGAGGCUUUGAAGUGUGGACGCCAGUCUGCAUGGAGCCGACCUUGAAAUACCACCCUUUAAUGUUUGAUGUUCUAACGUUGGCCCGUAAUCCGGGUUGCGGACAGUGUCUGGUGGGUAGUUUGACUGGGGCGGUCUCCUCCUAAAGAGUAACGGAGGAGCACGAAGGUUGGCUAAUCCUGGUCGGACAUCAGGAGGUUAGUGCAAUGGCAUAAGCCAGCUUGACUGCGAGCGUGACGGCGCGAGCAGGUGCGAAAGCAGGUCAUAGUGAUCCGGUGGUUCUGAAUGGAAGGGCCAUCGCUCAACGGAUAAAAGGUACUCCGGGGAUAACAGGCUGAUACCGCCCAAGAGUUCAUAUCGACGGCGGUGUUUGGCACCUCGAUGUCGGCUCAUCACAUCCUGGGGCUGAAGUAGGUCCCAAGGGUAUGGCUGUUCGCCAUUUAAAGUGGUACGCGAGCUGGGUUUAGAACGUCGUGAGACAGUUCGGUCCCUAUCUGCCGUGGGCGCUGGAGAACUGAGGGGGGCUGCUCCUAGUACGAGAGGACCGGAGUGGACGCAUCACUGGUGUUCGGGUUGUCAUGCCAAUGGCACUGCCCGGUAGCUAAAUGCGGAAGAGAUAAGUGCUGAAAGCAUCUAAGCACGAAACUUGC
rnacentral:rRNA from 1 species